ACAUACGACCACAGGGUGUGGAAAAUAGGGCUUCCCAUCCACUCAGCUGUACUCAAGCCACACGCUGGGAGAUUAAUAGUUGGGUAGGCAAUUACCAGUAAAUCCCUUCUAUUAUAUAUU
rnacentral:rRNA from 1 species